AGGCAUGGCAUCCAGGGGGAGUUAAAGUCUUACUAUUUUAGUUGAAUUCAAGACUACAUGAAAGAACUUGGUGCUGACAGUAUUCAGUUUUCACAUGGAUAUGGUUUUCCAAGACACCAUAGUUUUCUGCUCCUUGUCCUUACUCAUCUGUCUACUUCCCUCUUAGAUUAAAUAUUUUCAACAAAUAUGCUUAUUUGAAAGGGUCUUGUUUGAAUUUUAAUGUUAUUAUUUUGCUGCCCCAUUUAUACCUUAUACUUAAAUAAAUUGCUUCUCCCCACUGCUGUA